rnacentral:rRNA from 1 species
UACAGAGGGUGCUAGCGUUGUUCGGAAUCAUUGGGCGUAAAGGGCGUGUAGGCGGUUUGUUAAGUCAUGUGUGAAAUCCCUCGGCUCAACCGGGGAACGACGCAUGAAACUGGCAAGCUAGAGUACCAAAGAGGGGGUGGAAUUCCCGGUGUAGCGGUGAAAUGCGCAGAUAUCAGGAGGAACACCAAUGGCGAAGGCAGCUCGCUGGAACGGUACUGACGCUGAGGCGCGAAAGCGUGGGGAGCAAACAGG